AGUGAUAAUUUAUUUUUUUCCCCCACUUCACCUUGAACUGAUUUUCUUUCCCCCACUUUGGGUAAUUUUGUCCAAUUUUUUAUCCAAGGACAGUUUUGACCUAAUUCCCAGAGUGGUAUGGAAGAGUCAUGUAGGCUGGAAAUUGAUAUUGACAAUCUGCCCAAAUGAUUACUGUAAAUCCAAAGGAGCAACUAAUUUUCAAUUUCUCAAACCUCCAAAUACUAGCUGGCUGAGGCUUAUCAAAUAAAAAAGAAACAAAAAGAAAAAAAAAAAAGGAAGAAGGAAAAACAUAGAAAAAGCCUUGAUUAGUUAACAACCAAAUAGCGCAACCUUGGGAGACUAAAAGUAUGUAUUACUUGAUGAGAGCUUCCCUUUGUUAGUUAAACUUAUUGGGUCUUCUUUAAAAGGGAAACUACACAAGAUUGAAAUAGAACAUAUGAAUGAUAACCAUAGGGAAUGGGGGUGAAUGCUUUUUACAUUUUUACACAAA
rnacentral:lncRNA from 1 species